AAGAUUUUAAGUUAAACAAACUAGAAGCCUUCAAAGCUUAAAAUAAAAAUUUUUUAAAUCUUA
rnacentral:tRNA from 1 species